UGGGGAAUAUUGGACAAUGGGCGAAAGCCUGAUCCAGCCAUGCCGCGUGUGUGAAGAAGGUCUUCGGAUUGUAAAGCACUUUAAGUUGGGAGGAAGGGCAGUAAGCGAAUACCUUGCUGUUUUGACGUUACCGACAGAAUAAGCACCGGCUAACUCUGUGCCAGCAGCCGCGGUAAUACAGAGGGUGCAAGCGUUAAUCGGAAUUACUGGGCGUAAAGCGUGCGUAGGCGGCUAAUUGAGUCGGAUGUGAAAUCCCCGAGCUUAACUUGGGAAUUGCAUUCGAUACUGGUUAGCUAGAGUGUGGGAGAGGAUGGUAGAAUUCCAUGUGUAGCGGUGAAAUGCGUAGAGAUCUGGAGGAAUACCGAUGGCGAAGGCAGCCAUCUGGCCUAACACUGACGCUGAGGUACGAAAGCAUGGGGAGCAAACAGG
rnacentral:rRNA from 1 species